CCUACGGGAGGCAGCAGUGGGGAAUAUUGGGCAAUGGGCGCAAGCCUGACCCAGCAACGCCGCGUGAAGGAAGAAGGCUUUCGGGUUGUAAACUUCUUUUAAGAGGGAAGAGCAGAAGACGGUACAUCUUGAAUAAGCCACGGCUAACUACGUGCCAGCAGCCGCGGUAAUACGUAGGUGGCAAGCGUUGUCCGGAUUUACUGGGUGGAAAGGGCGGGUAGCCGGGCUGACAAGGCAGAUGUGAAAUUCCGGGGCUCAACCCCGGACCUGCAUUUGAAACUGUUGGUCUUGAGUAUCGGAGAGGCAGGCGGAAUUCCUAGUGUAGCGGUGAAAUGCGUAGAUAUUAGGAGGAACACCAGUGGCGAAGGCGGCCUGCAGGACGACAACUGACGGUGAGGCGCGAAAGCGUGGGGAGCAAACAGGAUUAGAUACCCUAGUAGUC
rnacentral:rRNA from 1 species